rnacentral:rRNA from 1 species
GACGAACGCUGGCGGCGUGCUUAACACAUGCCAGUCGUACGGUAAGGCCCUUUCGGGGGUACACGAGUGGCGAACGGGUGAGUAACACGUGAGUAACCUGCCCACAACUUUGGGAUAACGCUAGGAAACUGGUGCUAAUACUGGAUAUGUGCUCCUGCUGCAUGGUGGGGGUUGGAAAGCUCCGGCGGUUGUGGAUGGACUCGCGGCCUAUCAGCUUGUUGGUGGGGUAGUGGCCUACCAAGGCGGCGACGGGUAGCCGGCCUGAGAGGGUGACCGGCCACAUUGGGACUGAGAUACGGCCCAGACUCCUACGGGAGGCAGCAGUGGGGAAUAUUGCACAAUGGGCGCAAGCCUGAUGCAGCAACGCCGCGUGCGGGAUGACGGCCUUCGGGUUGUAAACCGCUUUCAGCAGGGACGAAGCUUUUUGUGACGGUACCUGCAGAAGAAGCACCGGCUAACUACG